rnacentral:rRNA from 1 species
UACGUAGGGGGCGAGCGUUGUCCGGAUUUAUUGGGCGUAAAGAGCGUGUAGGCGGUUCGGUAAGUCUGUCGUGAAAUCCUGAGGCUCAACCUCGGGCGUGCGAUGGAUACUGCCGGGCUAGAGGGUGGUAGAGGCGAGUGGAAUUCCCGGUGUAGCAGUGAAAUGCGUAGAUAUCGGGAGGAACAUCUGUGGCGAAGGCGACACCCUGGACCAGCACUGACACUGAGGCACGAAAGCGUGGGGAGCAAACAGG